AAGUCGUAACAAGGUUUCCGUAGGUGAACCUGCGGAAGGAUCAUUAAAGUAUCUUCCUCGGGGUGCGAGGGUGGCCUGGCUCCGGCAAAUUGCCGUGCAGCGGGUCCCCUCCCCUCGAACACUACAAACCCACUGUGCACCUUUCGCGGUGGAGGGUGCGGUGCAAGCCCACCCGAAGCCGCGGUCUCACAGACUCGUCUCAGAAUGUCUUGCGGACUCGUUCCGCCCAUAAAUGUAACAACUUUCAACAACGGAUCUCUUGGCUCUC
rnacentral:misc_RNA from 1 species